rnacentral:rRNA from 1 species
GAUGAACGCUGGCGGCGUGCUUAACACAUGCAAGUCGAACGGGAAUUACUUUAUUGAAACUUCGGUCGAUUUAAUUUAAUUCUAGUGGCGGACGGGUGAGUAACGCGUGGGUAACCUGCCUUAUACAGGGGGAUAACAGUCAGAAAUGACUGCUAAUACCGCAUAAGCGCACGGAACCGCAUGGUUCUGUGUGAAAAACUCCGGUGGUAUAAGAUGGACCCGCGUUGGAUUAGCUUGUUGGUGAGGUAACGGCUCACCAAGGCGACGAUCCAUAGCCGGCCUGAGAGGGCGGACGGCCACACUGGGACUGAGACACGGCCCAG